AUGGGGAGCGAACAGGAUUAGAUACCCUGGUAGUCCAUGCCGUAAACGUUGGGCACUAGGUGUGGGGGACAUUCCACGUUCUCCGCGCCGUAGCUAACGCAUUAAGUGCCCCGCCUGGGGAGUACGGUCGCAAGGCUAAAACUCAAAGGAAUUGACGGGGGCCCGCACAAGCGGCGGAGCAUGCGGAUUAAUUCGAUGCAACGCGAAGAACCUUACCAAGGCUUGACAUACACUGGACCGUUCUGGAAACAGUUCUUCUCUUUGGAGCUGGUGUACAGGUGGUGCAUGGUUGUCGUCAGCUCGUGUCGUGAGAUGUUGGGUUAAGUCCCGCAACGAGCGCAACCCUCGUUCUAUGUUGCCAGCACGUGAUGGUGGGAACUCAUAGGAGACUGCCGGGGUCAACUCGGAGGAAGGUGGGGAUGACGUCAAAUCAUCAUGCCCUUUAUGUCUUGGGCUUCACGCAUGCUACAAUGGCUGGUACAGAGAGAGGCGAACCCGUGAGGGUAAGCGAAUCCCUUAAAGCCAGUCUC
rnacentral:rRNA from 1 species